rnacentral:misc_RNA from 1 species
GAUGAAGAACGUAGUGAAAUGCGAUACUUGGUGUGAAUUGCAGAAUCCCGUGAACCAUCGAGUCUUUGAACGCAAGUUGCGCCCGAAGUCAUUAGGCCGAGGGCACGCCUGCCUGGGCGUCACACGUCGUUGCCCCCCCAUCUACUCCUUCGGGAUUGCGGGGGGCGGAUGAUGGCCUCCCGUGCGCCUCGUCGCGCGGUUGGCAUAAAUGCCAAGUCCUCGGCGACGCACGCCACGACAAUCGGUGGUUGCGAAACCUCGGUUGCCCGUCGUGUGCGGUCGUCGCGCAUCGAGGGCUCGAAAAAAUUGCCGGGCUCCGGCUCGGCUUUCAACGCGACCCCAGGUCAGGCGGGGUUACCCGCUGAAUUUAAGCAUAUCAAUAAGCGGAGGA